UCUCCUCUCCUCGCCCGGCAAGGGCACCAACAGGAGUCAAAACAAUGCUGCGCCGUCUCAGAAAAUUCCUGAUUGGGUUUUGUCUCAUGAAAAGAUUUCCCAGAAUUAAGAAUUCCCUUUUGUUCUUGCUGGGUGUGAUGUCAUCCCAGCAGUCUCGUGGAUUGUGUCGCAGGGAGAAGCUGUCUUUCCUCUGUGCCGUCUCUCUAAGGCUGAAGCCUUCGUGCAUUAGCUCACCCAGCCGGCAUCUCCGCUCUGCCUUUGAGGCGGGUCCUGCCUGAACCUUUCUGCACACAGGGAUGUGAAUCUAGGGUCCCAGCAGAGGUCCCCACACAUCUGGGAGUCCCUGUGGGAUAAGCAGCGAUAGAGAACAGAAGGGAAACACUCUGCGUUCUUGUUUUUUGGUUUUUUUAUUUGUUUGUUUUAAUUUCCUUAAAAAGAAAUUUGAUGAAACAGGAGGCACCAAUUGUUCACAUAUUUCACUCUCUUAUUCUGUUCUUGGGAGUUUAUGGCAAGUCAACAAAUGAAAAUGUUAAAACGACCAGUCAUAGGUUUUGCGACUCAAGCACUCCUGAGGGUGAGCCAUUGAAAGGAGCUGAAUGGUCAGAGGCUCGGGGAAAAAGACAGAUGCUGUUCCUGGAGGGAAUAGCACAGGGUGGAGUUCAUAUACAGAGGAUGAUGGAUACACGAAACAGCUUUAGUUUCAGUAAAAAACAAAACAAAACAACUUAAGAGAAUUGUGAGUGUAGCCAAUGGUUUAGUAAGUAAUUAGCUCUCUUUCCCUAGAAAUUCUUUACUUGAAGAAACUAGCUUCCUUUUAUGCAAAUUAGAAAAAUGACAGCUGUCUCAAUGAGCUGUUCUUGCCAAACAGCGAAGAGAAAGAAGCCACCUCCUUCAUGUGGGAGUUGUCUGAGCCUAGCUCCACCGUUUCCAGGUUCUAUGGCCUGUCACCUCGUCCCAGAGAGUUUAUGUCAAUUGACUCAAGCUAGAGUCAUCUAAAAGAGAACCUCAAUUAGAAAAAUGUCCCCAUAAGAUCCAACCGGAAGACAUUUUCCUAAUUAAUGAUUGGUGGGGUGGGCCCGGCCCAUUGUGGGUGGUGCUAUCUCUGGGCUGGUGGUCCUGAGUUGCAUAAGAAAGCAGGCUGAGCAAGCCACAGGAGCGAGCCAGUAAGCAGCCCCUCCAUGGCUUCUGCAUCAGCUCUUGUCUCUGGGUUUCUGCCCUGUUUUGAGUUCCUAUUUUUUCUCCUUUGAUGAUGAGCGUGAUGUGGAGGUGUAAACUGAAUAAACCCUUUCCUCUUGUUUCCUU